rnacentral:rRNA from 1 species
UGCAGUCGAGCGGACCGACGGGAGCUUGCUCCCUUAGGUCAGCGGCGGACGGGUGAGUAACACGUGGGUAACCUGCCUGUAAGACUGGGAUAACUCCGGGAAACCGGGGCUAAUACCGGAUGCUUGAUUGAACCGCAUGGUUCAAUCAUAAAAGGUGGCUUUUAGCUACCACUUACAGAUGGACCCGCGGCGCAUUAGCUAGUUGGUGAGGUAACGGCUCACCAAGGCGACGAUGCGUAGCCGACCUGAGAGGGUGAUCGGCCACACUGGGACUGAGACACGGCCCAGACUCCUACGGGAGGCAGCAGUAGGGAAUCUUCCGCAAUGGACGAAAGUCUGACGGAGCAACGCCGCGUGAGUGAUGAAGGUUUUCGGAUCGUAAAACUCUGUUGUUAGGGAAGAACAAGUACCGUUCGAAUAGGGCGGUACCUUGACGGUACCUAACCAGAAAGCCACGGCUAACUACGUGCCAGCAGCCGCGGUAAUACGUAGGUGGCAAGCGUUGUCCGGAAUUAUUGGGCGUAAAGCGCGCGCAGGCGGUUUCUUAAGUCUGAUGUGAAAGCCCCCGGCUCAACCGGGGAGGGUCAUUGGAAACUGGGGAACUUGAGUGCAGAAGAAGAGAGUGGAAUUCCACGUGUAGCGGUGAAAUGCGUAGAGAUGUGGAGGAACACCAGUGGCGAAGGCGACUCUCUGGUCUGUAACUGACGCUGAGGCGCGAAAGCGUGGGGAGCGAACAGGAUUAGAUACCCUGGUAGUCCACGCCGUAAACGAUGAGUGCUAAGUGUUAGAGGGUUUCCGCCCUUUAGUGCUGCAGCAAACGCAUUAAGCACUCCGCCUGGGGAGUACGGUCGCAAGACUGAAACUCAAAGGAAUUGACGGGGGCCCGCACAAGCGGUGGAGCAUGUGGGUUUAAUUCGAAGCAACGCGAAAAACCUUACCAGGUCUUGACAUCCUCUGACAACCCUAGAAAUAGGGCUUCCCCUUCGGGGGCAAAAUGACAGGUGGUGCAUGGUUUGUCGUCAGCUCCGUGUCCUGAGAAUGUUGGGGUUAAGUUCCCGCAACGAGCGCAAACCCUUGAUCUUAGUUGCCAGCAUUCAGUUGGGCACUCUAAGGUGACUGCCGGUGACAAACCGGAGGAAGGUGGGGAUGACGUCAAAUCAUCAUGCCCCUUAUGACCUGGGCUACACACGUGCUACAAUGGGCAGAACAAAGGGCAGCGAAGCCGCGAGGCUAAGCCAAUCCCACAAAUCUGUUCUCAGUUCGGAUCGCAGUCUGCAACUCGACUGCGUGAAGCUGGAAUCGCUAGUAAUCGCGGAUCAGCAUGCCGCGGUGAAUACGUUCCCGGGCCUUGUACACACCGCCCGUCACACCACGAGAGUUUGUAACACCCGAAGUCGGUGAGGUAAC